GGUCGAUCGAUCCUCCCAGUGAUAAAUUUACCUGUCAAUUAACUUCAUUUCACCUUUCAGCCGUUCGAGAGAAUCGCUGGACACUCGCUGAUGUAGAACCGUAAUUAAAAUCGUAUGCCCUGGAUCAUUUGUAAACAAAUCGAUUGACGCAACUCUUCACGAUCCACUCGUUGCAAGAGACAUGGAUAGUUUCAUGGAUCGUUCAAGGACUUGGUUGUUUCGUCAUCUUGCGCUUGAGUCAAAUAUCGUGUGAGAAGUUGGAAAUAUUGUCGCUUAAUUAGCAGACCUUCUGCGAAACGGAGACCAGUCAGAAGAAGAGACAUAUGUAGAAACGUGGACGAUAUUGAUCCAACUUUGAAAAUAUUCUCCAAUGAGCAUCAAGUUCGGCGUACCCUGGCGAACUCAAAACAGUCCUUUCCCCGUAAGUACAGAGAAGCACUUGAGAUCUACAAACAUCCCAACAACAUCAAUAGGGACUCCGGAUACCAAACCCAUCCAAUUCGGAACACCAUCUUCCCGGUUUUUUAAUUGAUUGGCCAUUCAAUUAAAACAGCCACCCGAUUGGACAACUCCACUCAACUGGAGCGUCACGCAACAAUGACACUAGUUCUGGAUAAAUAGGGUCGCCCUGUGCGGGACCAACCAGUAUCAGGUUGUCUCUCGCACUGAAGAAUUAAACUGCAAUGUUUACGAAACGUCGGUAACAAACCGUCAACCAACGGGGCUCCAUCCCGGAAGCCUUAUUCAAAUCUUCAGUUGUUAUAAGUUCAAAAUUGGCCAUUUGAUAUGCAACAGCCUAAUAGUUCUGAGAAUCCUCUACACGGUUUUAAGGAUUUCUUCUUCCUCCUCGACUUGCCGUGACGUCGCGACGUAUGUGCCUCUCUUCUCUUUCCUUUUUCUCGCUUUCUAUUAUUCUCUCCUUCUCGUGGUACUCUAUUCCUCUCUCGUUGGAUGCUGUUCCUCUCAGAAAGUCCCUUCGAAGAGGUAGGGCACGCGAAUGUGGGAGGGAGAGUUUCCGGUCGCCCACGCGCCUUUGCAACAACCACUUCGCUGAGGUAUCAGGGACAAAACACGGGCCGGCGGAUGUCUCUUCUCUUCUGCGCAAAUGAAGAAGUCGCCUUGCAUUUGGCAAAUAUAAUGAAAGCUCCCUGUUUCGUUUUCGCGUCGGCCUGUUCCGUGACCUGCCGCUCGAAACCCCUUGCGUUUCGUUCCGUUUCCUUUCCGCUUCUGACGAUCCGACUCUCUCUCCUUCUCUCUCUCUCUCUCUCUCUCUCUCUCUCUCUUUCUCUCUUAUUAAAUCUUCCAGGAAUUAAAUUUAUUCUUCGUCGUAUUUGAUCGUAAUCAUGUAACGAGAGAAUUCCGACGAUGCGUACGGUAAUUUGAAAGGAACAGCCUGUCUAAUUAAGGAGACUUAACGCUCUAGCAAGCGGAAAAUGAUGAGUUUUUUUACGGCUGUUUGAAUCCGAUGUAGUUAACAACACGAUCGAUAUAAUUAGACAAUAAUUGAAUUUAUUGCAGGUGAUGAAAUGAAAGAUGACUCGUAGGUGUUGUUUGUGGCAGGAUUACGUUAAGACUCCGAACAAAUGCGAAGAAAAGAAAAAAAGAAGACGUUCGUGUUAGACGUCUUUUGAACGAACAAGAAUUAGAAAGCACAUGGUGGCAAAGAAGGCAAGUCCUACGAAGGGUACAGAGUCGUGUUGUCGCUGUGGAGCAAUAGAAAGGCUGCAGAGCGGGAAAUUGUUUGUCCGCGACCGAUUCCAACGGUACAUUGGAACCACUCGACAGAGAAAAAGAGAACGGACUCUUCCAGCGUACGCACCACCCACCACGAAGUACUCGAGGAACGAGGAUUGUUCGUCCUUCGAGAGGGGAAUUCGGCGCUAAAGCCAUCUUCUUCAUCGCCUCCCUGUUUUCGUUUUCUUCCUACCUCUGUUGUUCUUUUUCUUCAGCGAUCGCGCGCUCUCUCGGGACCGUCUAGUGGAAAAAGAAGGCGACCGAGGGAUUUUUAGGGGCGUCGAGGCGACCGUGCGAAAUCGACUUCACCGCGAAGAUCACGGACGGCCACCUAAGAUCAGCAGGGAGGCAGAUAAGUUUGCAGGUUGUUCCGCUUAAUCGCGUGUUUAUACGCGCUAUAGAUAAAUAUAUCCUUUCUCUUGCACGUUGUAAGCUCAAUUAACGAAAUGUACGCUCUUCAUUUCACGAACAACGAUCAUCGGUUACGGUGUUCGUUCGCGUUGGCCUUCGGGACGAACCUUGGAACAAAGGCACGGACAAAAGGGACCACCGAACGGGCAGCUUGUAGGCUGCACGCUGUUCCGCGGCUCUGAAGAUAGACAAUGGAUCAGAGAGGCUGGUUAUCCAAUGCGGUCAUAUUAAGUAACCGCGAGGCUGGUUCAUAAUCGCGAUCGUAUCUGACCGUAAGAUGUCCCAACUUAUAGUCAGCGUAUCUCGAGAAUUUAUGUCACAAGUUGCACGCUGAUAGUUGGUCGGUUAAUCCGACGAAAAACGAGCGAAUUGUUAAUCAGUUGACAAGGAUUAGAAGAUAGAAAAGCUGACGAGGAAGAAAGCAGCGCGAUGCAAAUAACAGGAAUGUAGGACGGUUGGAAUCGCUAGCGAGGUUCCAGGAGACGCAAGAUUUAUUGGGAAUGGUAAUCAGCAUGGGUCUUUACGAUUACCGCGAGAGUACUCGAGGUGCACGCAAAACCAGAGAAAUCAUCGACGUUCGUAUAAAAGUACGACGAACAGGCUGUUCGAUCGUGUCCCAGAGAUCGCUCCCCGAUGGAUUUAUAUUGGCAGUCGAUUAAAUUUCUUCGAGCAAUUUACAUCGGCUGAUUUAUCCAUCGUAUCGGAUCGGUCGUAAAUAAGUGUAGCGUGUGGUGCGUGGUGCGCCUCGAGUAUCACCGUUUACGACUGAAUCGACAGAAAAAGACAGAAGUAAGGAAGUUGGCGAGAAAGAAAGGAGAAAACGGAGGAAUCUGGGAAGCGGAGGUCCGAAAGAGUCGUAAUUUCGCGGCGAAUCGCGAGGGUGAGGACGAUGGCUCGAAACGGAGAGGAACGGUGGACAAACCGUCGCUGGACUUUCGACCGCGCGACGCCACCGGGGAAGGAAGGAAGACGGGAGGAAGGGGGAUGUGCCGGAGGAAAAAAUAUAAAAAAAAGAAAAACGACCGGGUAAAUAAAGAUCGACCCGUCUCCCACGCCCGUGACCAUUGUUAUUAUAUAUCCCGUGGGGUAUUGUUCCCAUGGGAAAACUGGACAGGCCCGUUCUACCACCUAUAAGACACCGGCCAGCGAGAGAAUAUGCACGCACACAGGCUUUUUACUCGAGCCACGCCAGACUUCAGCUUUCUUGCUACAUCUUUUGCGAUAGUAUUCCUGGUGUCUCUGGUUCAAAGGGAUGCAUGCGGAGGAUUAUAAAUCCCAAAGGAAGAAUAGGGAUAUCGAUACCGUGUCGUAUGAUCGCGAACGUACCGUGAUGCAGAGUUCAACAUUCGCCACCAGAGGGAUCAUCCAAGAUACCAACUUUCUCGCAACUCCUCGCUCAAUCAUCCGCUCCUAUAAAAGAAAGAAACUCGUCACAGUCUGGUCGAUAAUCAAUAACGAUGGGGACAGCGAGACUAGUCGGAUGAACGAGUUGAAUUCGCAAAGAAAAAAUAAAGGAAGAAAGAAAAGCGCGUCGAAGCGAAGAACGGCGAGAACGGAGGAGCAGUGAUUAACACCGUGGUCGAUCCUGGAACGGCCUGGACGAAGAUCGAUGAGGAUCAGAAAGGUGGCCGGAGCUGUGUAUCACGGUAGCCGGCUCGUUAUUCGAAUUCCUGGGAUUUCUCGACGUCGUCUGGAGUGGUCGGCACGCAAAGUCGCGUCUCCUCCUCUUUCUAGCUGGACUUACCGAACCGGAUGGCACGAUCACCGGGGUCCAGGACCGCGUAAUUAAUUGAUAUAAUAAUCGUGACGGACGAGUCUUAAUUUCAUCGUGAGACGCACGCGUCCGUACUUCGGUAGCCUCGUUUCUCUCUUUCUCGUUCCGCAUCGGCGACUUGACGACGGCGUCGAAGACGUUGAAGACGACGAAUCAUCGACGUCCGCUAGGACAGUCUUGCCAAUAAGUCUCUCUUCAAGGUUGCCAUCGCUGGACUACCAUAAUCCGCCUCGUAGAUUAUUAUCGGCGAAAGAAGAAACUUGCGACAUACACCGGUCACGCUUGUUCUUCCCUCUUUCGUAUCGCGUCGCCUCUCUCCGCUUCGCUAUCCUCCUACUCUUAUGCUCGUUUUUUCACCUCGCUCGGAGCACGGAAUAAUAAACCGUGCGCUGUGACCAUUAACAAGAGGCUAGAGCUUAUGGUCCGCAUCGUCGGGUAUAUCUGUGUUUGAUUUGCGUUUGCCAGGAGAACGUAUAAUUCCUUAUCUUAAUUGAGCCGAUUAGCAUACUGUUAGGGAGCGGAGAGGCUCGCUUUAGACGCUCGUUGCACGCAAUUUCGACGUGCCUAUACGAAAGCAUCGCGUGCGUACGGGACCGAAACACAGGCGUCGCGCGGCUACUGGAAUUUCGUUUCUCCAGGCUGCUUCGUCGUCCGCUCGAUUAAUCAAAUGGGACGUUCCCAGUCGGAGGAGUAUCCAUUAGAAAUUGAUUCCCGUUUUCGAUCGCCACUGAAUUAAUUUGUCGUUGUCCCAUAUAACUUUAGCGUUUCGUGCUUUCUCAAAAUAUCAACGGAUAGGAUUGCAACUUUAUUAGAGAAUUCUGAAAAUUGUUUAGCGUCAGAGUAUCGUGGAUACAAAAUCGUCAAAGAGCAAAGGAUUAAUUCGUUCAUGGUUCCCGCUUGCGGUGUUCCUCUUUCUCUGAACGAUUCAUGGUGUCUCCGUCUAGCUAAGCGGAGCCGAAGACUUUCACCGCGGCGCUCGGUUGGUUCGUUCAUUCAUAAAUUGAUUAUUAAAGGCUCGCCGGGGCCCGUUCGAACGCGAAAGAUACGCGCGUACACGGUGGCACGAGCUACGAUCGAUCCCUCUCGCUUUUUCACCGCGUUCCCCGCACACGGUCGAAGAUAAAAUAAUCAAAGCGACCGCGAAGAAUCGCGAGCCUUUUAAAGGAAAAAAAAGCUUCCGCGACCGGCAGCCGGCUAUUAAUUUGUUCGCUGUAACGAGUACUUAGCCACGCGAACAAGAAGCAUUCAUCCUUUGGUUUUUCAUCUCGCGUUCCGCUCGUAUGUUUUCAGGUUUCUUUAGCAGGAGUAGCAUGCUGUAGUUGUGUGUCACUGAUAUUAUCCACAUCAACGGAACAGGCUUUUUGGAAUAAAAGUUGUUAUGUGAAACGAAUGGAUUUUUUUUUUAAAUUCUUUGGAAAUGUAGGUAACGUAAUACACUUAAUUUUUUGUUUCCUUAUUUUUUAUUUUCUUUCAUAAGUUCACAUUUUACAUAGGUAAGAAGAAACAUUAAAAAUCGAGGUCGCCAAGAUAUCACAAUGUCCUUGUAAGGUUGAUCUCCAGUAUCCAAGCAGAUAUCUCUUGGCUCCAAUUAGUACUAUGUCACCGCUUAUCGGGCACAACAUUGCUUUCAGUGUUGGUCCCAUCGCAGUGCGUUACCGCACGGCCGAAAAACUACCACGUCCGGUCUCCAAUUUCGAUCGACUUUAUCCCUGGCCGUCGAUCUCGCAUAUUUAUGUCCACCGAUCCGUCCAAGCGAUCCAGGAUCCUCGAGGCCGGCUUAUCACGGACCGACGAAACUCCCAGCAGGAAAGGUACACUUCGCAAAGGACGCGAAGGGUAGAGAGAAGGAAUACGCGAGUAAAUUCAACGGAGGCGCAUAAAGACGCGACGAAAUACGAGCGAGAAGGCUUGGUGCCGAUACCUCGUCGAAGCAGAAGGGAUGUGGCGGUGGUAACGGAGAAGGUGAACCA